UGUAGUUACUACUUUGUAGUUUAAAUUUCUAGGUAGAAUUAUGAUGAUGACAUUAUCUAUCUAUAGGUCUUGACCAAAUUACGUGCCAGCAGUCGCGGUAAUACGUAGAAGACAAGUGUUAUUCAUCUUUAUUAGGUUUAAAGAGUACCAAGACGGUUAAUAAAGCCCAAAAUACAUGAGCACAGGGGACACAUUAACUAGAGUUAUAUGAAAGGAAGCAUUAAGGUACUGUUGAGUGUAGAGAUAAAAUUCAGUCAUACCAGAUGAAAGGCACAGAUUUAUGCGAAGGCAUCUUCUUAUGUAAUAACUGACGUUGUAGGACGAAGGCUUUUGAAGUGAAGAGGAUUAGAUACCCUUGUAAUUUAAGCAGAAAAUGAUGAAUGUCAUAGGUUUAAUAUAUACACCCCCAAAAAAAAAAGGGUCGAUGUUUUAUUGGGUCUAUAAAUGAAAGUGUAAGCAUUCCACCUCAAGAGUAAUUUGGCAACAUUGGAACUGAAAUCAUUAGACCGUUUCUGAAACCAGUAGUGAAGUAUGUUGUUUAAUUAGAUGAUACACAAAAAACCUUACCACAAUUUGAAUAUAUAUCAUUAAUGAUAUUUACAAGCGUUGCACGGCUGUCUUCAGUUAAUGUCGUGAGAUUUUGGUUAGUUCCAUAAAAUUAACGUAAACCCUCGUUUUAUUUAUAAAUAAAAUU
rnacentral:rRNA from 2 species